UUGUGGCAUGUUCUAGACCGCGAUAAAUCAGACAAUACCGUCUCCCUUAAAUUAAUUAUUCAAGAUGAAAAGGUGUAUUCUUUUUUAGUUGCAUUUAUUUUUUCAACCAAUUUGCCUACAAUCUCCAUCUUCUGCUUUGUACUACGAAAAAGUGAAAAAAUAAACUACCAAGGUUUUGUGUAUUGAAAAAGUGAACUAUCUUCGGGCCAACUUAUCUGAGCUUUAUCUUCAGUUACAGAGAUGUUUAUUCCAGUGAAAAUUUGAUGACAUUGAAACUUGAAAACUGCUGUUACUGAUAUGAAAUACAAUAUUUUAGUAUCUAAACCCGUUCUUAUUCGAAAGGUCCAUUAGUUUUGGUUGUAUCUAUUUUGGUUGUAUCUAUCUGCUUAGAAAGUGUAUAUCGAUAUGAACUUUAGUUUUCUUUCUAUAUCAUGUGCUAGAUAUACUCAAUGACAACACUAUACAACUAAGUAUUUGCUUGACUCAAUAUUAAUUAUGAAUUAUUUGUUUUUAGGGCGAUUGAAUUCAUGCGACUGUUGGUCGGUCUUUUAUACGUAUGCUCAAACCAAAGAUAAAAGAAUUGAGUUUGUAUUUUAUGAAGAACUUUAUGGUUGGACCAAAUUAUAUGAAACUUAAAUACUCGCGGCAUAAAUUCAAGUUGGCAUUUACUCAUAAGACGAUUUAAGAGGAAUCAAAUGAUCAUCUUUUUGGUAUGAGUAUCUUCGACUUAAGACCUUAUGAGUAUUUGUUAAACAAAAUUGAUGUUGAAGAGAGUGAACUCUUCGAUGUCAUUGGAGAGGUUGUAAGUUAUGGUGAAGUAGAAUCACAUAACCAAGGUGAUAAGACCAACACUUUUAUGAAUAUGGUACUUGAAGCUCAUGAGAGGAAUAAUAUCUCGACAAUGUUUUGGGGAGAAUUCGUAGACCAGAUCUUGCCACAUUUAUCCAGCCUUUUGGAGGUAAAACAGUUGUUCUUGGUGGCGACUUCAGACAAAUUUUGCCUGUUAUUGCAAAAGGAUCUAGGCAAGAUAUUGUUAAUGCUACUCUUAAUUCUUCGUAUUUGUGGACCACUGUGAAGUCUUAAAUCUAACAAAGAAUAUGAGAUUGCAUAGAGAUCAGUUAGAUGACAUUUGGAUGAGUUAAGAAAUUUUUCUGAAUGGAUUUUGGAAAUCGGUGAUGGAAGGAUUGGGAGUUCCAUUGAUGACAUUGAGAAGAUCCAAAUCCCUGAUGAUCUUCUCAUAAGUAAUUGUGAUGAUCCAAUAUCCGCAAUUGUUGAAAGUACAUAUCCAGAUUUCUUUAACCAUUCCAGUGACAUAGAUUACCUCCAGCAAAAAGCAAUUCUUGCUCCGACUCUUGAUAUGGUGGAAUCACUCAAUGAAUAUAUGGUUUCACUCAAUCAUAGUCCUGAGAAGACAUAUUUGAGUUCUGAUACCGUUUGUAUGUCUGAUCAUUCUUUUUCAGCUUUGGAACACGUACAUACACCAAAAUUCCUAAAUAGUAUUAAAUUUUUUGGAAUUCCAAAUCACUCUAUCACUUUGAAGGUUGGUGUUCCUGUGAUGUUGCUGAGAAAUACAGACCAGUCAUCAGGAUUGUGUAAUGACACGAGGUUGAUCAUCACAAGACUUGGAAAUCGGAUUAUUGAGGCCAAGGUUUUAUCUGGUAAUGUGGCUGGACAAAAAGUGUUUAUCCCGAGAAUGACGUUGACACCAUCAGACGCAAGAAUACCUUUUAAGUUCCAGCGAAGACAAUUUUCAAUUGUUGUAUCUUUUGCCAUGACAAUUAAUAAAAGUCAAGGCCAGUCAUUGUCUCAUGUGAGAUUAUUUUUGAAGAAGCCAAUAUUUACUCAUGGACAAUUAUAUGUUGCUCUUUCACGCGUGACAAGUAGAAAAGGGUUGAAGAUUUUAGUUUAUGAUGAUAAUGGCCAAAUAACGAAUGAAGCUAGAAAUGUGGUGUAUAAAGAAGCUUUUCGUAAUUUAGUUUGAGAUGAAGCUAGACAUGGUGGAAUUAUCAGGUUCAUGAUUUUGGCUUCUUUCGCUAAGACCCUGGUGUCAUACAAUUCUUUAGUUAUGAAGAGAUUCCUCUUGCUCCUGAUGCUGCCGCUGUAGGUGUAGAAAUCAGGGUUGUUGGUAAUGACAACGAUGAGAAGUUUUGAACUUACUAAAAGAUGCACAUACAUCACGUAGAUAAAAGACUUGAAAAGAUCAAAGUAUUUUUCCAAGGAGAUGAGAACAAAGCAGAAAGGACACAAGUGUGAUAGAAUAUCAGCAGAAAAAACAGUUGAACUAAUGCAGAAAAAGCCAGAAGUGUUAUAAAUAUAUUAUAUUAUGGAUGUUCAUUUAG